AAGCAAAAAAAUAGUUUAAACUCCACACUAUCAAAUCUCCAACACCGAAUCAAAUAUUUUCAAAACAAAAUCAAAUCAUUCAAGUAAACAUCUUACCCCCAACUCCCCAAGUAGUUCUUUCGGCCUGAAACCAUUGGAAAAUUCAUCCCCAAAUAGUCAUAUCUUGUCUAUUAUUCAGUUCUAAAAUUCGAUUCAGUGAUGGGAUAAGAGCCAGCAUCGAGUCCGUUGACUUUCAGCGUUUCAAGAUGUUAAUGUUUCCUCCAUCACUGCAACUCCAAUGGAUGCUCUCAAGUAUCUAAAGCCACUAGCAGGUUGUGACUUGGAUGUUAUUAUUUUUGGAUAUUAGUUGCCAGUUGUAAAUGGAUUAAUUGUUAUUCUAGAUUUGAAGUGGAAUGCAAAACGCCUGCUUGUUUGCAAGUUGAUGAUUUAUUUGCUUAUUUGAAUGGGAAUAGAUGUGAUUUCUUUUUUCAAUAGAUCCGUGGAGAUUUUCUCCCUGUGAGUAUCACUCUGUGCAAGAUUGUAGUUUUGGGCAUUAGAUGCAAUCUUUAGUUACUGUCAUGGCAAUCUUCACUGAUGUAAACAAAUGCCAACUUUGGAUCCUGGCUAUCCAGCCCCUCUCUUCCAUGGGAUCUUGUAGGAAAGUGUUCAAAAGCCUUCAGAUGUAUAUUCAUCAUCAAGUACUGAUGAACCCAACAGCAAACAUGUUGAAUCCAUAUUGAAUAUAUUCAGGGUUUUUACUUUGUCAA